rnacentral:rRNA from 1 species
AGAGUUUGAUCCUGGCUCAGGAUGAACGCUAGCGGCAGGCUUAAUACAUGCAAGUCGAGGGGUAACAGGUCCUUCGGGAUGCUGACGACCGGCAACCGGGUGAGUAACACGUAUGCAAUCUACCUUUAACAGGGGCACAACUUUGGGAAACCGGAGCUAAUUCCCCAUAAUAUUGUAUGCUCGCAUGAAUAUACAAUUAAAGUACAAGCAGUUAGAGAUGAGCGUGCGUCUGAUUAGGUAGUUGGUGGGGUAACGGCUCACCAAGCCAACGAUCAGUAGCUGAUGUGAGAGCAUGAUCAGCCACACGGGCACUGAGACACGGGCCCGACUCCUACGGGAGGCAGCAGUAGGGAAUAUUGGGCAAUGGAGGCAACUCUGACCCAGCCAUGCCGCGUGAAGGAUUAAAGUCCUCUGGAUUGUAAACUUCUUUUAUAAGGGAAGAAAUUCUUGAAUUCAUUUAAGAUUGACGGUACCUAAGAA